UCUGAAUCCCCCACUACCCAGAGCUGAGCCCACUCCUCCCGCCCCUCAAGUGGGAGACUGGUUAGGGCUGCGGGGUUAGGGGUGGCGUGAAAUAAAGCGAAGUUUUGCUAGGGGAAUGAAUUAGAAGAGUAAGAUUGGCGCCUCGUUUCUUGCUCGGGUUGCAUCAGCGAUGUUAUGUCCUCACAGCUCAUCGACUAUGGGAAGCUGGGAGACACAAACGAACGAGCCAUGCGCAUGGCCGACUUCUGGCUCACAGAGAAAGACUUGAUCCCAAAGCUGUUUCAAGUACUGGCCCCUCGGUACCAAGGUCAGAAUGGGGGCUACACGAGAAUGCUGCAGAUCCCAAAUCGGAACAUGCAGGAUCGGGCCAAGAUGGCAGUGAUCGAGUAUAAAGGGAACUGCCUCCCACCCCUGCCCCUGCCUCGCAGAGACAGCAACCUUACACUCCUAAACCAGCUACUUCAGGGGCUGCGGCAGGACCAGGAAGCAAGCAUCCGCACUUCCCACACAGCUCAAACACCACGGAUUUAACUGGAGCUAAAGGGUGUGUGGCCCUCAUCAGUGCCCUCGAUCAUAGGCCUUUCCAGCUCUUUUAAUCGCUAAGAAGAACUAGAGCUAGAGUAGUGAAACAGACAGUCGUAAUGGAGCCCAGAACCUCUGGGGAGCCAGAUAACCCUCUUUGCACAAUAGAUAAAAUUCCUUGUAUAAAUAUAAAAAAA